rnacentral:misc_RNA from 1 species
AUGAAUUUUGGAGUUCUACUGUGCCUGCCGUUCAUUCGGAUGUGUGCACGUAGUCUCUAUAAAUCCUUAUCAACACCUGUGCACCUUUAAAAAGGGGGGACUCUGAUUAAGCAUUUUAUGAUGCUUAUGACGAAUAACCUCUUUUCUUAUACAACUCUUUUAAUGUCUAUUAGAAUGUUCUCUGGCCGCAAGGCUAUAAAAUAUAAA